AAAAUAAUGACUACCAUUCAUUUUUGGCCUUUUUUCACAGAAAGUAAUUCAGAUCAACAGUAGUUCAUAUAACAAAAUAAAUAUAAAUCCGGCAUCAUUAGAUCAUUAAAACCAGAAUCAUUAGAUGACAUUAAAAGACUUUUAAGGAUUACAUGAUGUCUUGUCUUUGAUAUUUUUAAUGCCAUGAUAAAUAUGUUUCGGGUUGAUUUUCUCAUUGCUGUCCAAGGCUUUAAACUCUGCUGCAGAGUGAAUGAAUCACGCUUGUCUUUAAUAAUUAAAGAGGUUUUUCAAUUUGAUCCAGCUCUAUGACCUGUAAUCUCACACAAUCUCACACCCGAUCAGUGUUAUGGAGGCUUCAGUGUCCCAGCGGAGGCAGAACUCACAGUGAGACACAGAUGGACAAUGGACGAAACUAAUUGGACAGCUCAGAGAUUCUGGGAAAAGAAAGGCCGUAUGAGAGCGGGGAGGAUGGAGACAUGAAGCCUGACAGCUUCAGCUGCUUCCAGAUUUCAUCUUUAUCUCCAGCUUCUGUUCAUGACUGCGACAGUUUGCCAGCACACCUGUAGCAGAAGAGUGCAGGUGUUAUGAUCGCGCCGAGACAUCUGUAUGAUCCGAAAGUUGUAAUCAAAAGUGAAGCGAAAGACACCUGGCGAGCGACAGACGGACCGAACACACAGCCGCUCUGCUGUAACUUUAUGGAAAAGAAUCCACCUCGCAUCAAACACAAAUGAAACCUCUCUUCCUUCUCAGCAGUGUUAAACAGAGCCAGCUGUUUCCCACAUCAGAGAAAUACUAGCUGCUCUCCUUCUUUAUCAAAAACAGCAGUCGGC